GGGUCCGUAGCUUAGUGGUAAAGCAGUUGCCUUUUAAGCAAUUGAUGCAGGUCCGAUUCCUGCCGGACCCA
rfam:Candidate division Kazan bacterium RIFCSPLOWO2_01_FTLL_45_19 RIFCSPLOWO2_01_FTLL_KAZAN_45_19, whole genome shotgun sequence.